CAGGACGAACGCUGGCGGCGUGCUUAACACAUGCAAGUCGAACGGAAAGGCCCUGCUUUUGUGGGGUGCUCGAGUGGCGAACGGGUGAGUAACACGUGAGUAACCUGCCCUUGACUUUGGGAUAACUUCAGGAAACUGGGGCUAAUACCGGAUAGGAGCUCCUGCUGCAUGGUGGGGGUUGGAAAGUUUCGGCGGUUGGGGAUGGACUCGCGGCUUAUCAGCUUGUUGGUGGGGUAGUGGCUUACCAAGGCUUUGACGGGUAGCCGGCCUGAGAGGGUGACCGGCCACAUUGGGACUGAGAUACGGCCCAGGCUCCUACGGGAGGCAGCAGUGGGGAAUAUUGCACAAUGGGCGGAAGCCUGAUGCAGCAACGCCGCGUGCGGGAUGACGGCCUUCGGGUUGUAAACCGCUUUCGCCUGUGACGAAGCGUGAGUGACGGUAAUGGGUAAAGAAGCACCGGCUAACUACGUGCCAGCAGCCGCGGUGAUACGUAGGGUGCGAGCGUUGUCCGGAUUUAUUGGGCGUAAAGGGCUCGUAGGUGGUUGAUCGCGUCGGAAGUGUAAUCUUGGGGCUUAACCCUGAGCGUGCUUUCGAUACGGGUUGACUUGAGGAAGGUAGGGGAGAAUGGAAUUCCUGGUGGAGCGGUGGAAUGCGCAGAUAUCAGGAGGAACACCAGUGGCGAAGGCGGUUCUCUGGGCCUUUCCUGACGCUGAGGAGCGAAAGCGUGGGGAGCGAACAGGCUUAGAUACCCUGGUAGUCCACGCUGUAAACGGUGGGUACUAGGUGUGGGGUCCAUUCCACGGGUUCCGUGCCGUAGCUAACGCUUUAAGUACCCCGCCUGGGGAGUACGGCCGCAAGGCUAAAACUCAAAGGAAUUGACGGGGCCCCGCACAAGCGGCGGAGCAUGCGGAUUAAUUCGAUGCAACGCGUAGAACCUUACCUGGGUUUGACAUGGAUCGGGAGUGCUCAGAGAUGGGUGUGCCUCCUUUGGGGUCGGUUCACAGGUGGUGCAUGGCUGUCGUCAGCUCGUGUCGUGAGAUGUUGGGUUAAGUCCCGCAACGAGCGCAACCCUUGUUCACUGUUGCCAGCACGUUAUGGUGGGGACUCAGUGGAGACCGCCGGGGUCAACUCGGAGGAAGGUGGGGAUGACGUCAAGUCAUCAUGCCCCUUAUGUCCAGGGCUUCACGCAUGCUACAAUGGCUGGUACAGAGAGUGGCGAGCCUGUGAGGGUGAGCGAAUCUCGGAAAGCCGGUCUCAGUUCGGAUUGGGGUCUGCAACUCGACCUCAUGAAGUCGGAGUCGCUAGUAAUCGCAGAUCAGCAACGCUGCGGUGAAUACGUUCCCGGGGCUUGUACACACCGCCCGUCAAGUCAUGAAAGUUGGUAACACCCGAAGCCGGUGGCCUAACCGUUGUGGGGGAGCCGUCGAAGGUGGGACUGGUGAUU
rnacentral:rRNA from 1 species